AUAUAAUAUGUUGUAUAUGUAGCCUACAUUGCGUGUUUGCAUAAAAGAGCAGGUUAAUCCUUUUUUGAACAGGUUUGUUGAAAAAUCCUUCUCGAAAGAAUCGUAUUUCCAAAGUACUGUCAACUGACCACAUCUUCUUCCGCUUGUCAAAAUAGUUCUGCUCAGUUUGGUGUUUUAUUACGGAUUUAUUCUCAUAGUACCGUUUCAUAAUUUGAUAUAAUAAUAUAAUAAUAUGCUGAUAUUAAAAUAAAAAAAAAUAAAAAAUGUAAUAUUCGAACUGAAGGAAUUCCCGCCCUAGCGCAAGGACACAUUCUCCUCCAAGCACGCAGUGGAGCUGCUGCGCGCGCAGAAGGAAUAACUCGACCUUCAGUUUCACGGUCAAUCUUCAAUCUGAGGCGAAAAUAAGCAGAUAAGUUCAGUGAGUGCUAAAACCAUGGUCAACAUGAAAGGUCAUAGUUAACGACCACAUCACCAUCUUCUGCAACGCUCUGAUGUUUGCUUCAUACAACUGCUUGAACAUUUCAUACCCAGGAAACCAAGGAGAAACGCAAGAGAUUGUGCAAAGAUUCCUUUUUAAGAUGAACCCCGAGAAGGGAUCGAAAGUGGAGAAGACCACAUCGAGAAAGAAAUCAGCAGUCAGUCCAAAGGUUCUUUCACUGAUUAACAAGAUUGCGGACUUUGAAAGGAUGGAGUAAAACUUGGAGUGUCAGAUCUUCCUACAUUGCCUAGCAGAAAUUCUUGACAGUGUCAAAGACUUAAAAUACUUGCUGAUUAUUUGCUUUCAUGGUUGAUUUUUUUUUUUUUUAAUGCAUCAUCUGUUGUCAAGAUGAAUUAAUCUGUUCACAGGUGGUUCAGUUUUAAGGACAAAU